rnacentral:rRNA from 1 species
GAUGAACGCUGGCGGCGUGCUUAACACAUGCAAGUCGAACGGAAAGGCCCCUGCUUGCUGGGGUACUCGAGUGGCGAACGGGUGAGUAACACGUGGGUGAUCUGCCCUGCACUUUGGGAUAAGCCUGGGAAACUGGGUCUAAUACCGGAUAGGACGUUGGUUUGGAUGCCAUUGUGGAGAGAUUUUGCGGUGUGGGAUGAGCUCGCGGCUUAUCAGCUUGUUGGUGGGGUAUUGGCGUACCAAGGCUUCGACGGGUAGCCGGCCUGAGAGGGUGUACGGCCACAAUGGGACUGAGAUACGGCCCAGACUCCUACGGGAGGCAGCAGUGGGGAAUAUUGCACAAUGGGCGCAAGCCUGAUGCAGCGACGCCGCGUGCGGGAUGACGGCCUUCGGGUUGUAAACUCCUUUCGCUAGUGACGAAGCGCAAGUGACGGUACCUGGAGAAGAAGCACCGGCUAACUACGUG